GAUGAACGCUGGCGGCGUACCUAAUACAUGCCAGUCGAGCGAACGGACGAGAAGCUUGCUUCUCUGAUGUUAGCGGCGGACGGGUGAGUAACACGUGGAUAACCUACCUAUAAGACUGGGAUAACUUCGGGAAACCGGAGCUAAUACCGGAUAAUAUUUUGAACCGCAUGGUUCAAAAGUGAAAGACGGUCUUGCUGUCACUUAUAGAUGGAUCCGCGCUGCAUUAGCUAGUUGGUAAGGUAACGGCUUACCAAGGCAACGAUGCAUAGCCGACCUGAGAGGGUGAUCGGCCACACUGGAACUGAGACACGGUCCAGACUCCUACGGGAGGCAGCAGUAGGGAAUCUUCCGCAAUGGGCGAAAGCCUGACGGAGCAACGCCGCGUGAGUGAUGAAGGUCUUCGGAUCGUAAAACUCUGUUAUUAGGGAAGAACAUAUGUGUAAGUAACUGUGCACAUCUUGACGGUACCUAAUCAGAAAGCCACGGCUAACUACGUG
rnacentral:rRNA from 1 species